UGUAUCUCUUCUUCUUCUUCGUCUUCUCUCUCAUU
rnacentral:sRNA from 1 species